CCUACGGGUGGCAGCAGUGGGGGAUAUUGCACAAUGGGGGGAACCCUGAUGCAGCGACGCCGCGUGGGUGAAGGAGCGUUUCGGCGCGGAAAGCCCUAUCGGCAGGGAAGGAGGAGGACGGUACCUGACUAAGAAGCACCGGCUAACUCCGUGCCAGCAGCCGCGGUAAUAAGGAGGGUGCGAGCGUUUAUCGGAAUUACUGGGCGUAAAGCGCUCGUAGGCGGUAUGUCAAGUCAAGGGUGAAAUCCCCGCGCUCAACGUGGGAACUGCCUUUGAAACUGGCCAACUGGCGUGUGUGAGAGGAUAGUGGCAUUCCAGGUGUAGGAGUUGAAUCCGUAGAUAUCUGGAGGAACAUCAGUGGCGAAGGCGACUAUCUGGCACAUAACUGACGCUGAGGAGCGAAAGCGUGGGUAGCAAACAGGAUUAGAUACCCCUGUAGUC
rnacentral:rRNA from 1 species